rnacentral:rRNA from 1 species
CCUACGAGAGGCAGCAGUGAGGAAUAUUGGUCAAUGGACGCAAGUCUGAACCAGCCAUGCCGCGUGCAGGAAGACGGCUCUAUGAGUUGUAAACUUCUUUUGUACGAGGGUAAACGCAGAUACACGUAUCUGUCUGAAAGUAUCGUACGAAUAAGGAUCGGCUAACUCCGUGCCAGCAGCCGCGGUAAGACGGAGGAUUCAAGCGUUAUCCGGAUUUAUUGGGUUUAAAGGGUGCGUAGGCGGUCGGAUAAGUUAGAGGUGAAAUCCCGAGGCUCAACUUCGGAAUUGCCUCUGAUACUGUUCGGCUAGAGAGUAGUUGCGGUAGGCGGAAUGUAUGGUGUAGCGGUGAAAUGCUUAGAGAUCAUACAGAACACCGAUUGCGAAGGCAGCUUACCAAGCUACUUCUGACGUUGAGGCACGAAAGCGUGGGGAGCAAACAGGAUUAGAUACCCGAGUAGUC